GAAGGAAGCCAGGGUCCUGCACCCUGUCUGUCCCCAAGCCACUGCCACCCCUGCAAUAUAUCUCUCCCAUUACCCACAGGACCCCAGAUCCCAGCCAACUGCCUGAAUCCUCCAUGACUAGAAAUGAGAUCUUUUCACAGCUUCUGGAAGCAGAAGACCAACUAGGGCCAGAUAAGUCAUGGGGCCCAGCCCCAGCACCCUGUAUCUCCUGCUCCUCAAACACCCCACACAAAAGACAAACGCUGCUCCUUUUGCAGGUGCUCCUCCUUAAGGACAGCACCCAGGAGACCUGAGCUCUACAUCCUCCUGUGAGUGACCCAGGACAAGUCACCUCCUCUCUCUUGGGUUUGCUCAUCUAUAACCCAAAGAGGAAGAAUGAGAAGAUCUCUAAAGCCUCUCCCUGACUUGACAUAACUUAGUAACAAUAAUCACCAUUGUCAUUAUUAUUAUGGUAGCUAGUUUGUUGGCUGCCUACCAUAUGCCAGGAUUCUGUAGGUGUCUUCUAUACACUGAAUAACACAUUUUUUUUUUUUUUUUUUUUUUUUUUGACAGAGCCUUGCUCUGUCACCCAGACUGGAGUGCAGUGGCCUGAUCUCGGCUCACUGCAACCUCCGCCUCCCAGUUCAAGCGAUUCUCCUGCCUCAGCCUCCAGAGUAGCUGGGAUUACAGCCACCUGCCACCAUGACUGGCUAAUUUUUGUAUAUUUUUUUAGUAGAGACGGGGUUUCACCAUGUUGGUCAGGCUGGUCUUGAACUCCUGACCUCAAGUGAUCCGCCCACCUCGGCUUCCCAAAGUGCUUACGGGCAUGGAUUACAGGCAUGAUCCACCGCACCUGGCCCCUAACACAUUUCUUAAAACUCUGUGAAAUAGGUAACAAUAUCCCAUUUUAAAGGUAAGGGAAUGAGGCACAGAGAGGCCAAGUAACUUCCCCAAGAUCACACAGCUGUUAGUGGCUAGUGUGAGACUUGAACCCAGGACAAUCAGAUUCCAAAUCCUGUGUCCUAAUCCUACUAUCUAUCUACUGCAUUCCAUACUUUGUAGUGCAUUCCAGGUUUCCAAGAUUCCUACUCACUCUACUGAGUCAAGCUCUCAAGCCCAACCUCAGAGCCCUGGCUUGAGAGUCAUCAGUUCUACUGAUACAAAGGAUGUCCCCUAAUUGGAGAUGGGGUCCACCAUGCCUGGCCACCCCUCAAGGUGUAACUCCCUCUGACACUCAGCCCUGCCAGGCCCUAGGCCUAGGGCCCCACCCUAGGAAUGUUCAGCCCCCAAUCAUCAUCAGCGGCACUGGCUAGAGAGCAAGUCUAAGGGAAGCUGGCCUCAGUGUUUCUGGAAACUCAGGAAUUAACCUGGAGCUUGCGGCUCCACCCCAGAGUUGGAUGGGGCAGGGCUCUGGUUUAAGGAGAAGGGAGAGAAACAGCAGAAGCACUUCCUGGAAGCCAGAGGUUCUGGGCUCUAACUUGAACUAGAACUAGUCCUGCAAAAUUGGGCAGGUCACUUAAACUUUGGGACCUCAGUUUCCUCUUGGGUAAAACUGAGGGGGAGGCCUGGCUCACCCCUAGCCAUUUCCAGCUCCAGCCUCUGGGAUGGGCCUCCUAGCUUCCCUUCCCAGUCCAGCUCACAGGCCCAGGAUCAACUAGGCUGAGCUCCCCCUCCCAGCAGCAGGGGUGAAGAGAGGGGCACACUAUCUCCCUUGGGGGUUUCUAAGAAUAGCCCCCAGUGGGGGAGAAGGGAAGGGGGGCAAACCAGGCAACUUCCCUUCCUGGCCCCAGGAGCCCAAGAGGAAAAUGUGAGUCACGGUGGAGGGAAGGGGAAGGGGGACGAGACUGAAAUAACUCUGUACACACACAUCCCUAUCUGACUAUGAGAAAAAAUGGAUGCCAGGGGACCGGAGGAGACUCCAAGCUGGGCCUGGGUCACUGGGUGACACUGUUCAGUAUGUCUAAAUGAGUGGGUCGGUAGGGGACAAAGUCUCCUUCCUGUGAUUGUGAGUAGGGGUGGAUCUGGGAAGGGGCUGCCCAAGUAGACGAGGAAGGAGGCCACAAACCCCACCUGUCUAGAAACCCACAUACCCAAAUGGGCACAGGGAAUGUUUCUCAGCCCAGAGGAAGUUGUAUGGGCAGCUCUGGCCCCAAGGACUGGCACAGGGGCAGCAGUGAAUUUCGCCACUGCCCCAAGAAUGUGCCUAUCGAGAUCCACUACAUGAAGCUGUAGCCAGACACUCCUGGGGAGACGGGCACAGUCCUGGCCUCCCUGGGACUGCACCUCCCCAGUCAGGCACUGGGCCUGGCUCUGGGCACCAUGCCAGUCGAGAGCAGGGAACAGAUGCCCACCCAGCCCAUGCCUGGCCAGAGAGGAAGGGGGAAAGGAGACACCACCUCUAAGCUCCUUCCCCAGGAGGGCAGUCCAGCCAUAAAGCCCUGGUUGAGAGCCACCCUGGAAGAGAAGCUUUGGGGCAGAAGGACCUGGCCCUUUAAGAUGUCUGACAGUGCCCUAAGGGCACGUGCUCCACAAACAAACGGGCUAUAAAGUUACUUUUAAAAAGGUACGUUCUGGCAUUCUGGCAUUCUGGCCAGGUGCGGUGGCUCACGCUUGUAAUCCCAGCACUUUGGGAGGCCAAGGCGGGUGGAUCAUGAGGUCAAGAGAUCGAGACCAUCCUGGCCAACAUGGUGAAACUUGUCUCUACUAAAAAUACAAAAAUUAGCUGGGCAUGGUGGCGCGCUCCUGUAGUCCCAGCUACUCAGGAGGCCGAGGCAGGAGAAUCGCUUGAACCUGGGAGGCAGAGGUUGCAGUGAGCUGAGAUCGCGCCACUGCACCACUCCAGCCUAACGACAGAGCAAGACUCCGUCUCAAAAAAAAAAAAAAACCACAAAAAAAACAGGUAAGUUCUGUUCUGCAGCACAGGCUGGGUGGAGAAGGGCAUCAUGCCAGAGAACCUAGCUUCUCACCCUGGGAUCCCCAGGCAACUUCCUCUCUGUGCCUGAGGCAGGGUGGGCAACAGGCCACAAGCCUUCAAAACCUUGAGCAAGACAGCACUCUCUAGUUAGGGUCCAGUGGAGGACCCAGGCGCUGUGCUGAUGGCGGGGCUGUGCCUACAGCAGCGCCUGAAGGACCCUGGCCUCUGCUCCCUGGGCAGGGGGGUAACAGGAGAUGGCAGAUCCACAAACUAACAUCUCUCUGAAAGGGACUUCCCAGAAACCCCUUCACUGGGUACCAUGCCUUCCAGCACUCCCCAAACCUCCCUGCCCCCAGGUGUGAACACUGCCCAGUCGGGUUCUACUCCACUCUAGGAAAGGGUGGGGCCCCAACAGCAACAUGAGCUAGAUGCUAUUUUUAUUCCAGCUUUGCAGACUGGGAAACUAAGGCUGGGAGAGGUGAGGCUAGUUGUCUAAGAUCCCACAGAAAAGAAUACAGCCCACUGGAUAAGCAGGUCAGCCUACAGCCACUCCACACGGAGCCGUGGAGUCCCACCUCACACACACUUGGAGCCUGGAGGCAGCAACAGGCAUGGACAGAGAACCUCAAGGAAAGGCGCCCAGGUCCCUGGUGCCCAGCAUGGGGAAGGUGGGAUACGAUCAGACUUAACGCUCCUCUCUUCAACAGUCCAACCCCAUUCAAACCACAUCCAGCCCAGAGAGAACUGACCCCAGCUCUUCACCUUCCCUGUCCUCCCAGAAGUGGCCUUGGUCCAGGAAAGAGGGGACUCCUCUCUUGCUGACAACAUCCAAAACCUGCUCUAUACCUCCAGAUCACCACCUAGAGCUGCUCUUCAGGGAUAGCACCAGCGCCUCAGUCUCUGGUGUCAACUUGCCUGCUGAGAUGCUAAGGCCUGGACACAGCCUGCACUGCCUUUUCAGCCCCACGGUGGCCCUGGGGCUAUAUACCACACCCCUGCCUCCAGCCCCACAUUCUGUCUCUACAGACUGCACUAUUUCAGCGGGCUAAAGAGCCGGAGACUGGGGCCCAUGGUGACAGAGUUCAGGCUUGGGUCCUGGGGCCCUCCCUCCCCUCAGCAGUGUCCUCUACCCCAGAUCCCACAUGGAGGCAGACCCCUCAACCCUAGCCUCCCACCUCCUGCUCCUCCUCCCAGAUACAGCCAGACAUCCCUGCACCCAGCUUCCACCCAUGACUCACCCGCCCUUCCUCACUAAGCCCCCACCUGCUUAUGAGGUGAGAAAUUCCCCACCUGCUGCCCUCCAUCCCUACCUCCCUGGCCACCUACCUGCUUCCAGAGGAAGGCAUCACCACGGUUAAGUUGCCAGGCCAAGAUCAAAUGCAAGGUGGAGAGGCCCAGGCCAACAGUGCCACAUAGGCAGGC
rnacentral:lncRNA from 1 species